rnacentral:rRNA from 1 species
UACGUAGGGUGCGAGCGUUACUCGGAAUUACUGGGCGUAAAGCGUGCGCAGGCGGUUCUCCAAGUCCGUUGUGAAAGCCCCGGGCUCAACCUGGGAAUGGCAGUGGAAACUAGGGGACUGGAAUCUGGCAGAGGGGGGUGGAAUGCCGCGUGUAGCAGUGAAAUGCGUAGAGAUGUGGAGGAACACCGAUGGCGAAGGCAGCCCCCUGGGCCAACACUGACGCUCAGGCACGAAAGCGUGGGGAGCAAACAGG